UGGCCCCACACCACAGUGAGCCACAAUUCCAGAUCCUGAUGAGGCUGGCUGGGCUCCUCAGUUGCUGCUCCUUCCCAUCCCACACGGACCCAGUUCUGAGACGAAACUUCUUUUCAUGAACACAGGGCUCAGCUGGACUGACCGUAUCCAUGAAGUCCUUGGGGAUAAAGAGGUCCCUGCAUGUCCUGGACACACUCAAUGGGACACCUUGCUUGUGAGACAGUAUUGCUGCCUUCAGGAGGGAUCUCCUGAGGGAUUCCUGAAGGAAGUGGGGGGGGGGUGGCAGGGGCUGGACCUUCCUGGUGCUGGAAUCUUCGCCUGGGCAGGAGAAGUCUGUGGGUUAAGGUGUGACAAAGCCUUUCAGCACGCACUUCCUUGGAGGCUGGCGGAAAAUCGGGGCCCACACUUAGUGAGCACACGACCCACAGGGAU
rnacentral:lncRNA from 1 species